rnacentral:rRNA from 1 species
AUUGAACGCUGGCGGCAGGCCUAACACAUGCAAGUCGAACGGUAACAGGAAACAGCUUGCUGUUUCGCUGACGAGUGGCGGACGGGUGAGUAAUGUCUGGGAAACUGCCUGAUGGAGGGGGAUAACUACUGGAAACGGUAGCUAAUACCGCAUAACGUCGCAAGACCAAAGAGGGGGACCUUCGGGCCUCUUGCCAUCGGAUGUGCCCAGAUGGGAUUAGCUAGUAGGUGGGGUAACGGCUCACCUAGGCGACGAUCCCUAGCUGGUCUGAGAGGAUGACCAGCCACACUGGAACUGAGACACGGUCCAGACUCCUACGGGAGGCAGCAGUGGGGAAUAUUGCACAAUGGGCGCAAGCCUGAUGCAGCCAUGCCGCGUGUAUGAAGAAGGCCUUCGGGUUGUAAAGUACUUUCAGCGGGGAGGAAGGGAGUAAAGUUAAUACCUUUGCUCAUUGACGUUACCCGCAGAAGAAGCACCGGCUAACUCCGUGCCAGCAGCCGAGUAA